rnacentral:lncRNA from 1 species
CCCCUUUUAAUAAUGUAUAUAUAUAUAUUUUUAAUGUUUAUACAAACGACAUUCUUCUUUAGUCUAAUCUAAACUCAGGAAGGGGGAAUACAUUUAUUGUUAUCAAGUUUUUUCUUAUAAAUUUUUUUUGCUAGCUGCAAUCAGGGGCAGAAGCACGUUGGGACAAGAGGGGUAGCACGACCCCUUGGAAUGCCAGAAAUUUGGCUGUGGACUCCAUGAACGACCCCUUGGACAGCAGCUGAAAGACCUCUUGUGUGCACACCAAGUGCUCGAUGAAAGUCCCAGCCUAUUUGCCUUGCUCUGCUAUGCAGCUGAGCAUCAUUUUUUUAAAAACGAGCCCUGUCAAAUGACAACUUUUGGUCCAAGGCUUAGUCAAAAAAAAUUUUAAUUGACCUGGCCUCAAAAUGACGUUGUUUUGGGCUAGAGUUAAAAAAAAAUAAUAGUAAUAAUAUCAACACUUACCCGACUCUACACAGCACCUCCAAACCCUUUUCAUUCCCAAUUUCACAUAAGCCCUCUCAAACCCUAACCUCCCAACCUCCAACAACCUCCACCACAACUCUUUGCCGGUGCCGAUCACCACCACCUUGUGCCGUCGUCCACUGCCCUUUUUUUCAAUUACAAGUGAGUAAAAUUGAUAUUUAUAAAUUUAUAGUGAUAAUAUUUAUUGUGGAUAUUGAUUUUUUUUUUUUUUAUGUAAUGAAAUUUAUGGAUAUGAUAAUGUAGAUUGAUUGAUAAUGUGGAUUGAUUAAGUAUAUUGAAUAUUGAUUGAUAUGAUAAUUUGGUAUAUUGAAUAUUGACUGUGGGUUAAUGACAUUUUUAUAUUCAUAUGAUAAUUUGGAUAAAAA